UGGGGAAUCUUCCGCAAUGGACGAAAGUCUGACGGAGCAACGCCGCGUGAGUGAAGAAGGUUUUCGGAUCGUAAAACUCUGUCUUUUGGGGCGAACGUGAGUAUGGUGAACAAUCAUAGUCAGUGACGGUACCAAAGGAGGAAGCCACGGCUAACUACGUGCCAGCAGCCGCGGUAAUACGUAGGUGGCAAGCGUUGUCCGGAAUUAUUGGGCGUAAAGAGCGCGUAGGCGGGAUAGUCAGUCUGUUGUAAAGUGCGGGGCUCAACCCCGUGAUCGCAAUGGAAACAGCUAUUCUUGAGUGCAGGAGAGGAAAGUGGAAUUCCCAGUGUAGCGGUGAAAUGCGUAGAUAUUGGGAGGAACACCAGUGGCGAAGGCGACUUUCUGGACUGUGUCUGACGCUGAGGCGCGAAAGCCAGGGGGAGCGAACGGGAUUAGAUACCCCGGUAGUCCUGGCCGUAAACGAUGGGUACUAGGUGUGGGAGGUAUCGACCCCUUCCGUGCCGGAGUUAACGCAAUAAGUACCCCGCCUGGGGAGCACGGUCGCAAGACUGAAACUCAAAUGAAUUGACGGGGUCAUAGCUGUUUCCUG
rnacentral:rRNA from 1 species